rnacentral:rRNA from 1 species
AUUGAACGCUGGCGGCAGGCCUAACACAUGCAAGUCGAGCGGAUGAAGGGAGCUUGCUCCUGGAUUCAGCGGCGGACGGGUGAGUAAUGCCUAGGAAUCUGCCUGGUAGUGGGGGAUAACGUCCGGAAACGGGCGCUAAUACCGCAUACGUCCUGAGGGAGAAAGUGGGGGAUCUUCGGACCUCACGCUAUCAGAUGAUCCUAGGUCGGAUUAGCUAGUUGGUGGGGUAAAGGCCUACCAAGGCGACGAUCCGUAACUGGUCUGAGAGGAUGAUCAGUCACACUGGAACUGAGACACGGUCCAGACUCCUACGGGAGGCAGCAGUGGGGAAUAUUGGACAAUGGGCGAAAGCCUGAUCCAGCCAUGACGCGUGUGUGAAGAAGGUCUUCGGAUUGUAAAGCACUUUAAGUUGGGAGGAAGGGCAGUAAGUUAAUACCUUGCUGUUUUGACGUUACCAACAGAAUAAGCACCGGCUAACUUCGUG